rnacentral:rRNA from 1 species
UAGGGAAUCUUCCACAAUGGACGCAAGUCUGAUGGAGCAACGCCGCGUGAGUGAAGAAGGUCUUCGGAUCGUAAAGCUCUGUUGUUGGUGAAGAAGGAUAGAGGCAGUAACUGGUCUUUAUUUGACGGUAAUCAACCAGAAAGUCACGGCUAACUACGUGCCAGCAGCCGCGGUAAUACGUAGGUGGCAAGCGUUGUCCGGAUUUAUUGGGCGUAAAGCGAGCGCAGGCGGAAUGAUAAGUCUGAUGUGAAAGCCCACGGCUCAACCGUGGAACUGCAUCGGAAACUGUCAUUCUUGAGUGCAGAAGAGGAGAGUGGAACUCCAUGUGUAGCGGUGGAAUGCGUAGAUAUAUGGAAGAACACCAGUGGCGAAGGCGGCUCUCUGGUCUGCAACUGACGCUGAGGCUCGAAAGCAUGGGUAGCGAACAGGAUUAGAUACCCUGGUAGUCCAUGCCGUAAACGAUGAGCGCUAGGUGUUGGGGACUUUCCGGUUCUCAGUGCCGCAGCAAACGCAUUAAGCGCUCCGCCUGGGGAGUACGACCGCAAGGUUGAAACUCAAAGG